AAGAAGUGAUAACACAUUGAGAUAAUUGAAAGAUACGUAACAUUUUGUAGUACGAAAAAAUACGUUAAAACAAAAUCCAUGUUUGGUUGAAUUAGUUGUAAAACAACCAUAAUAAGUAACACUGUUCACCAUGAUAAAUAACUCAUCUCACAAAAGUCUUUUUGUCACAUAAGGUCAUAAAUUCUCUUUUAAGCAUUUGCACUGGGUAUUAUCAGAUUUAAAUUUUUCAUUGGCUUGACACAAUGACUCUUUCAUGUCAUUGUGAUUGAGAUAAUGAUUGUAAAAUACGUUCAGAGCAACGGUCUUUAACAGCUUGUCUUUGUGGUUUAGGAGCCACUCAAAAUGUAUAUCUAACAGAGUAUAACAUUAUUAAUAGUAAUAAAUCAGGUAGGGAAUGUGUAUUAUACACAGUGAAUUAGUGCUUGUGUUUUUUAACUAUAGUGUUGAUUACAGUAAUUUGCACUGUGAAUUUUAAAACUUAGAACUUAGUGAUAGUGUAUUAGCAAAUAAACAUUAAAAAGGACUGUGUUAGUUAGCACUUGUAUGGCCAAAAAUCUAACUGCUACCAGUUAUGUUGUUGGCAUAGAAAAAUGCUAGAACCCUUAAUCCGUACUGCAGUUUUGGAUUUCAGAGACACAGUGUGAAAAAACUUUCUUCAAGAUCAAAGGCACCGGUUUUCAGGUGUAUGGGGUAUUGCAGAUUUCAGGACUGCCCUGUCACUGUGGAUGUGGUGGUUUAUGACGAAGAGACACUGAAAGCAGAAGUCGUUUUUAAAGGAGGUGAGGUCUGCCAUAAUAACAAAGAGCUGAAAAGGCGGCCUGUGCGUGCACAAUCACGUCAAAGUGCUGGAGAACUCCUCAAAAACAAAUUACCAAGGAGCUUGUACUUGGAGUCUUUACAGAAAGUGCCACAAAAGGUGAUCCAAUCUGGCAACAGGGAUGAUGCUCCAACUUUAGAAGUCUUGAAAAACAUUGCAUGGUCUGAAAGAAAAGCCAAUAGAGCCGAUCCCAACGAGUUGAUGAGUUUACAAAAGAUAAUUCAACAGUAUCAGGACACUGAAAAGGAUGUACUGCAGAAGAUGCUGAUGCAUCCAAAGGGCAUAAUGCUAUGGUCUAAGAAAACCUUGUCAGUUUUUCAUCAAAGAUGCAAAGAAGACAUUGUGUACUUUGAUGCCACUGGAAGUAUAAUAAGAAAAGAAAGUGCUGGAAGGCCACCAUAUUAUGUGUAUGAGUUGAUUGUCAGAAACCCAUCCAAAGGUGCUUCUCCUCUUCCAGGUGCUACAUAUGUCACAUGUGACCACACUACUGCCUCUGUGACAUACUUCUUGCAGGCCUUUCAGACUGAUCUGGUAAGAGCAUUUGGUAAUCGGGCCUACAACAGGCCUGUCAUGUUCAUGUGUGAUGGAUCCCUAGUACUCCUUCGAUCCAUUUCCAUGACAUUCUGCAGAACAAGUCUAGAGGAUCUGCUGCAGAAGUACUAUGUCUUACUCACUGGCACAGGAAUUCAACAUUCCCAUUCUUCAUCGAUGUUUGAGCCAUGUCAUGAAAAAUGCCAAGGACCUUUGUAAAAAACACAUUCCAGAGAACUACAGGCUUGGAAUGCAUGUGACAUGGAUGAUGUUGUCCAUAGUGCAGCAAUAGUGUUUUGCAGUCCUUGUAGUGGAAGGAACGUAACAAAACACUACAACAACUUGAAAAUCCUUAUGCAAAAAAGGGGGACCCUGGAUUUGGAUGAAAAGACUGUGAUUGCUGAGGACUACAAGACUGAUGUUCAGAAUGCCCCCUUGAAGACCCAUUUCCAGGCAAUUGUUGACAAUGCAACACUGGACUGUGAGGGCGAAAGAAACAUCUUUCAUGCACCCAAAUUUAUUGCCGGUCUGGUAAAUCACCUUCUACCACAUGCAACUUUGUGGUCAUCAAUGAUGCUCGGGGAUCUUGGACGUCAUGGUACUGGUCCUGCUUACCAGCAGCUCAGUAAACUCUAUAGUGACAUUCAGCAAUCCAAGAACCAGAAUUUUACACAAGACAACAGAACCCAAGGAAUCAUGGAGAAAAGCUAGUGGGAUUUGAAAAAAAUCCGUAUCCAGAGAAGGAGACUGACAAGGCUUGAUGACUUUGUGGAAAUUUAUCAAAAAAUGCAUGAUGCCCUCCUGCUUGAAUAUGCAGACAUGAAAAAAUCAAGACAAAAGUCUUUUCGCGUGGAAAUGGAGAAAUGGAAAGACAAACGCAUUAAACGGAAAGGUGUGUACGUGUCACCGUUAGUGACCGAACUGCCACUGAAGAAAAAGAAAACUGAGGUCUCCACUUCAUCAGACAUCACCUAGACACACAGCUGGAUGAGACCAGCACAAACAGCAGCCUAACUGACGAAGAUGAUGGAUCCAUGGGGUCAGGAAAGCCAGAAGCAGAGGAGCUGAAGAGGUACCUUUCACUGUCCAAUGUCCAUACACUGGAGGUGUGGAGCUAUUGCAUGGCUUUUCUCAGAUCAAGAAACUGUCGAUCAAAGUCAAUACAGCUCUUCCUGCAUCUGCAGCCUGUGAGAGACUUUUUAGUCAUGCAGGACUCCUGUUCACUGCCAAACGGUCACAGCUUCACAGCAAGAACCUUGAGAGCAAACUGCUGCUGAAGCUGAAGCACCAUUUCACUGACUGAAGAAACAAUUUAUGGUAAAGUGAGCAAUACACAUAUGUACAUCCACAUAGUGGGAAUUUGUAUUUGUUUUUUAUAAUUAGUUUUACUCUGAUUUCAGUGUUUAUUUGUGAGUGUAGUUUUUACAGUUUUACAUAUUACAUCGUGUUAAUCCACUGUCUAUACUUCAGGGUAUUUUAGUAUACAAAAUAAGUUUUGUUAGAAUGUCUAUUCUUGUGGAAUUUUAGCACAGAUGUUUUGUUUUGUUUUUUUAUUCCUGC